CUGAGAACAUGCCCUUUAGGGUAUCCUCCCACCCUUUGUUUACAAAUACCUUUGUUGCUUUGGCGGGCCCGUCGUAUGACCACUGGCUUUAGCUGGUCUGUGCCUGCCAGAGGACCCAAAACUCUUGUAUUAUGAUGUCUGAGUACCAUAUAAUAUUUA
rnacentral:misc_RNA from 1 species